UGCGUAGAUAUCGGGAGGAACACCAGUGGCGAAGGCGGCCUACUGGGCACUAACUGACGCUGAGGCUCGAAAGCAUGGGUAGCAAACAGGAUUAGAUACCCUGGUAGUCCAUGCCGUAAACGAUGAUUACUAGGUGUGGGAGGAUUGACCCCUUCCGUGCCGCAGUUAACACAAUAAGUAAUCCACCUGGGGAGUACGACCGCAAGGUUGAAACUCAAAGGAAUUGACGGGGGCCCGCACAAGCAGUGGAGUAUGUGGUUUAAUUCGAAGCAACGCGAAGAACCUUACCAGGUCUUGACAUCCCGUGCAUAGUCUAGAGAUAGAUGAAGUCCUUCGGGACACGGAGACAGGUGGUGCAUGGUUGUCGUCAGCUCGUGUCGUGAGAUGUUGGGUUAAGUCCCGCAACGAGCGCAACCCUUAUCGUUAGUUACUACGCAAGAGGACUCUAGCGAGACUGCCGUUGACAAAACGGAGGAAGGUGGGGAUGACGUCAAAUCAUCAUGCCCUUUAUGACCUGGGCUACACACGUACUACAAUGGCAAUUAACAAAGAGAAGCGAAACCGCGAGGUGGAGCAAACCUCAUAAAAAUUGUCUCAGUUCAGAUUGCAGGCUGCAACUCGCCUGCAUGAAGUCGGAAUUGCUAGUAAUCGCGGAUCAGCAUGCCGCGGUGAAUACGUUCCCGGGCCUUGUACACACCGCCCGUCACACCAUGAGAGCCGGGGGGACCCGAAGUCCGUAGCCUAACCGCAAGGAGGGCGCGGCCGAAGGUAAAACUGGUGAUUGGGGUGAAGUCGUAACAAGGUAACCA
rnacentral:rRNA from 1 species